CAUUAGCUCAGUAGGUAGAGCAUCUGCCUUUUAAGCAGAGGGUCCGGGGUUCGAACCCCC
rnacentral:tRNA from 2 species